rnacentral:rRNA from 1 species
AUACGGAGGAUCCGAGCGUUAUCCGGAUUUAUUGGGUUUAAAGGGUGCGCAGGCGGCCAUCUAAGUCAGCGGUUAAAUCGUGGGGCUCAACCCCAUUCUGCCGUUGAUACUGGGUGGCUUGAUUGCGGUCGAGGUUGGCGGAAUUCGUUGUGUAGCGGUGAAAUGCAUAGAUAUGACGAAGAACACCGAUUGCGUAGGCAGCUGACCAGACCGCAAAUGACGCUCAUGCACGAAAGUGCGGGGAUCGAACAGGAUUAGAUGCCCUGGUAGUCCGCACAAUAAACGAUGAAUACUUGUUUUCGGCGAUAUAAUGUCGGAGGCAAAGCGAAAGCGAUAAGUAUUCCACCUGGGGAGUACGCCGGCAACGGUGAAACUCAAAUGAAUUGACGGGG